AAGACCAAGGGUUCCUGUCCAACGUUAAUCGGGGCAGGGUGAGUCGACCCCUAAGGCGAGGCCGAAAGGCGUAGUCGAUGGGAAACAGGUUAAUAUUCCUGUACUUGGUGUUACUGCGAAGGGGGGACGGAGAAGGCUAUGUUGGCCGGGCGACGGUUGUCCCGGUUUAAGCGUGUAGGCUGGUUUUCCAGGCAAAUCCGGAAAAUCAAGGCUGAGGCGUGAUGACGAGGCACUACGGUGCUGAAGCAACAAAUGCCCUGCUUCCAGGAAAAGCCUCUAAGCAUCAGGUAACAUCAAAUCGUACCCCAAACCGACACAGGUGGUCAGGUAGAGAAUACCAAGGCGCUUGAGAGAACUCGGGUGAAGGAACUAGGCAAAAUGGUGCCGUAACUUCGGGAGAAGGCACGCUGAUAUGUAGGUGAAGUCCCUCGCGGAUGGAGCUGAAAUCAGUCGAAGAUACCAGCUGGCUGCAACUGUUUAUUAAAAACACAGCACUGUGCAAACACGAAAGUGGACGUAUACGGUGUGACGCCUGCCCGGUGCCGGAAGGUUAAUUGAUGGGGUCAGCGCAAGCGAAGCUCUUGAUCGAAGCCCCGGUAAACGGCGGCCGUAACUAUAACGGUCCUAAGGUAGCGAAAUUCCUUGUCGGGUAAGUUCCGACCUGCACGAAUGGCGUAAUGAUGGCCAGGCUGUCUCCACCCGAGACUCAGUGAAAUUGAACUCGCUGUGAAGAUGCAGUGUACCCGCGGCAAGACGGAAAGACCCCGUGAACCUUUACUAUAGCUUGACACUGAACAUUGAGCCUUGAUGUGUAGGAUAGGUGGGAGGCUUAGAAGUGUGGACGCCAGUCUGCAUGGAGCCGACCUUGAAAUACCACCCUUUAAUGUUUGAUGUUCUAACGUUGACCCGUAAUCCGGGUUGCGGACAGUGUCUGGUGGGUAGUUUGACUGGGGCGGUCUCCUCCUAAAGAGUAACGGAGGAGCACGAAGGUUGGCUAAUCCUGGUCGGACAUCAGGAGGUUAGUGCAAUGGCAUAAGCCAGCUUGACUGCGAGCGUGACGGCGCGAGCAGGUGCGAAAGCAGGUCAUAGUGAUCCGGUGGUUCUGAAUGGAAGGGCCAUCGCUCAACGGAUAAAAGGUACUCCGGGGAUAACAGGCUGAUACCGCCCAAGAGUUCAUAUCGACGGCGGUGUUUGGCACCUCGAUGUCGGCUCAUCACAUCCUGGGGCUGAAGUAGGUCCCAAGGGUAUGGCUGUUCGCCAUUUAAAGUGGUACGCGAGCUGGGUUUAGAACGUCGUGAGACAGUUCGGUCCCUAUCUGCCGUGGGCGCUGGAGAACUGAGGGGGGCUGCUCCUAGUACGAGAGGACCGGAGUGGACGCAUCACUGGUGUUCGGGUUGUCAUGCCAAUGGCACUGCCCGGUAGCUAAAUGCGGAAGAGAUAAGUGCUGAAAGCAUCUAAGCACGAAACUUGCCCCGAGAUGAGUUCUCCCUGACCCUUUAAGGGUCCUGAAGGAACGUUGAAGACGACGACGU
rnacentral:rRNA from 1 species